AUCCAGCUGACGAGUCCCAAAUAGGACGAAAUGCGCGAUAUCGUGGAU
rnacentral:hammerhead_ribozyme from 1 species